UGGGUGCCACUGCCCCCAGGACACCCUGAGCUUCCCCGGGAACUUCCUCUCCUCUCCUCACAGGCUUGCUUCUGAAUUUUUCAGCCUGCCCAGGGGAGAGCAGAAACGGCUGUGUCCGAACCGGCGAGUCUUGAGUUGCGAGUGGGCACGUGGGAGUUCCUGCCACGUUUCUUCCGCAGAUGUUGGAAAUUUUCCAUAAUAAAAAGUUAAACUCUGCUGGCAGGAAGGAGCCUGCUGCCUGCUCUGGGGCCGUUCUCGCUCUAUGUGGUGAGGGGCUGUCUUUUUCCACCAUUAAUUUGUGCUACUGAGCUGGGGUGGGUGACUCUUCCUGAUGGGACCGCCUGGAACGAGAUGCUCCCACCCCCCAAACAACUCCUCAGGUGCUGGCUUUGGUGCCCCCCACUCCGAAGCCCAUUCACCCAAAACACACUGGUCGCGCUGGAGUUCAGCGUGGAGGCACCCGUCAUGGUCAGGGACAGGAAACAGGAGGAUGAACUCAUUUGCAUAUGCAAAGAAGGCUGCUGACGGAGUGACAAAGGAGGGAAGGAAGUCUGUGUCUGGGCCUCAGCCUCAGGGCCCACGGGCAGCCGAGAGGAUCCUUGUUCUGCGCGGGCAGCCGUCAGCCAGCUGGCGCAGGCAGCUCCUCCAGAAAAAGGGAUCUCGAAACAUGGACGGGAGAGUCCGGCCUUUGCCUGUCCUGUUGGCCCUGGGCAACAGGUGCCCCAAACACAGGGUGAUGUGCGCUACAAGACUAACCGUGGUAGACGCCGCCUUCUGCAAGCCCUGAAGGAGGGGAGAAGCGCUUGGGGGUGGGGAGCGUUUCCCCCAGGCUUUCAGGCAGCCCUUCCAGAACUGCUCCCUUUAACCCUGUCCCCGGAACCUGCUUUCUUCUGGGUGGGAAGUUUGCUCAUUUCUGUAGCGGCUGUCCACAGCUGCUACGCUGACCCCAAGGACUGUGGGGGCGGACGGGACAGUGUGGCCUAGUGGUCCUCCCUGCUCCCUUACAAAGCGGUGCUCAGGCUUGCAGGGGCGUUGCCCGUGCUGGGUGUCCUGGCCCACUGGGUCUUCCGACGCCAAAUUGUUUUCUGAUGGCGGCGUCUGUCUCUCUUGAACUCAAUUUGCGUUUUCAAAGCAGCUAAUAGACGCAUUAAAAAAUCCAUUUUCGCUCGGGA